rnacentral:rRNA from 1 species
UACGUAGGUGGCGAGCGUUAUCCGGAUUUACUGGGUGUAAAGGGCGUGUAGGCGGGAGAGCAAGUCAGAUGUGAAAACUACAGGCUUAACCUGUAGCCUGCAUUUGAAACUGUUCUUCUUGAGUGAUGGAGAGGCAGGCGGAAUUCCUAGUGUAGCGGUGAAAUGCGUAGAUAUCGCGCAGAACUCCGAUUGCGAAGGCAGCAUGCCGGCUCCACACUGACGCUGAGGCACGAAAGCGUGGGUAUCGAACAGG